GUUAGAGAUGGAGACUAACGUCUUCCAAGGGAGAUUGCGUCUCCACUUUCACCCUGGUACUGAGAGGUUGAGCACAAAAUUGGUAACCAAUGCUGCGCUUCCAGCAAAUUUUCCCACCAGCACCCAAUCCUGGGAUAUUUAUUCUCUUUGUCUCACAUCCUACAGGAACGCAGUCGCGGGGUAUAUCCCCCUGAAAACCGUACGUUGCCAAAUAAUGAUUUCUUUGGAUUAGAGAACUACAACUCCCCUGGGUCCUGAGCCGGUAUUUCCCUUUUGCGGCUGCACCGUAGUUAAAAACAAAGCUAAGUGUUCUGGGACGUAUAGUUCUAGCGUUCCUUGGGUCCCGCUGGCGAGCGUGGGCUUUCUGCAGCUCGCAACCGGCCUCGUGCUUUGCGGACGGUUCACUGCGCUUGGAAAGGGAUUGGCCUGGGGUACAUCAUCUAAAGAUCCUAGGAUUGCUGCAGGUCAGCAGUCUCCACUGGAAAAAAAGAUCUUGGCUUUGAUUUGUUGGAGAAACUGUUACCAGAAAAACAGGUCCCGAUCCCGACCCCAAAAGAGUAUUCUUGGAUCUUGCACAGGAAGGAAUUAAAGCCUCAUUUGGCCACAGGCCCAGUGUCAACACCAGGGGGCGCCACAGACCAUGAAGGCACCGUGCAGCUGGGAUUGUUUGUGGUCGGCUACUGGGUCCCUGACUUAACCAGGGGAGCCAAGACCCUGUAGCCAAGUGGCCUGGAUUCAACCUGCAGCUCAGGUCUUACUGACACUUCUCCCCCUGGUGCCUCAGUUUCUUAAUCUGUGAAAUGGUGAGGACAUUACAGCAUUUACCUCUGGGGCGGGUUUCUCAACAGCAGCACUAUUAACAAUUUGGGACAGAGAAUCUUGUGGAGUGGUCUGUCCUGUGCAUUGUGGGAGGUUUGCCAGCAACACCCCACUCACCCCCUCCCACCAAUCCCCAUGUGACAACCGAAAAUGUCCCAGGAUUUUUAGGUCUCCCUUGGGUCUAGAAGCUGCACUUAGGCAUUUUCCCACCUGACACUUGAGUUCAUCUCUGCUUUGGUCCACAUAAGGCCACUUUAAAAAAAUGUUGUUUCUUUAAAGAUUCUAACCAUCUUUUAAACAAAUCCAUUUUCUUCCUCUAUUUCUGCAUUCAGUUAAUCCUUCCAAACCCUUUGUUUAGUAUAUCUUGAAAUGUAUCAAUUCCUGUUCUAGUAAUUAACAUAUGUGACUUGCAUGAUAUCUGCUAUGACCCUUAGUAGAGCUCUGAUUCCUUUAGCACAGGGAAUGUGUUCUCGAUUCUGCUCUGGAUGAUGUAAAUCAAUUUAUUUUACUUUACUUGUCUGGGAUGUUGCUCCUCAUCUGUAAGAUGUAAAUGUGGAUAUGGCUUGGAUUACUAAGUGGUUUUAUUUCUUAAUUCACCUGACAUUUGUUGUGUGCCUGCUGCAAGUCAAAUACAUGGCAUGGUAUUGUUUCCUUGUUCACACCACAGCAAAUGAGAAAAUGAGACAUUAUAGCCAGGUGUGGCGGCACAGGCUUGUGGUCCUAGCUACUCGGAAGGCUGAGGCAGGAGAAUUGCUCCAGCCCAGGAGUUUGAGGUUACAGUAAGGUAUGAUAUCACCAUUGCAUUUCAACCUGGGCAACAGACCCUGUCUCUGAAAAAAGGGAAAAAGACCUUGUGAGCUGUCUACGUGUACUCUAUGUCUCAGGAGACUCAUAUCCUGUAAUUUUUCUAAAUGGCGUCUCCAUGUGGUCUUUCAUGAAUGUUUGUCUGGUAUUCUCUAUCCUUUUACUUUCAACUUUUCUUUACCUUCUACUGAAAUUAUGUCUUUUGUAAACAGCCCAUGAUUAUUUAUUUAGUUAUUUAUUUUUACCCCCCUGCACUAUUUGUCUUGUAAUUGGAGUGUCUGAGUCCAUUAUGUUUAAUGUAAUUAUUGACCUCAUUGGGUUUAAGUCUGUCCAUUGUCAUUUGCUGCCUUCUAAUAUUAUCUCUUUCUUGCUCAACUAUUUUUCUUAUGUUACCUUCUUUAGAUGAAUAAAAACCUUUGCAUUAU
ensembl:lncRNA POLR1HASP POLR1H antisense, pseudogene